CCCUGGAUAACCUUAUUUUAAAUGUGUUUCCUUCUAGGAGCUAUUCAUCACUAAUGAAAGUUGAGAAUAUGUCUUCAAAUCAGGACGGCAAUGAUUCAGAUGAAUUCAUGUGAAUGGAGGAAAGGACCUUUGAAAGAUGUGAAUUUCGGACAAUUGCAGACGGUUUGAUUUCAUCUGUGUUUGGAGUUAUAAAAAAAAACAACUAAAAUUCUACCUUCAUUCUACACAAAUAUUACCAGCGUUGGAGUCUAAAAAACAAAAAAAGUGUUCCCUUUUUUGCCGACGGAAAAGGAUCAGAUAUUUAUAAUAUAUUUGGACUUGAAAAACAGCAUAUAACUUUAGGAAAGUGAAAAUAUUUUUGCUGAAACAUGUCUUGGUACCUCAUGAUAGUUGGCUGCCCUUGUUCUUGGGAUAGACUUUAGAACAGACCAGCUCUGAGAAGUAUUUGUUACUGUGGUCUGUCCCUGAGAACAGAUGUCUUGAGAAGCUUUUUCAUAUUCUUAAAAUAGCUUCACUUCUGUUAAGAAGAAUGUAUCAGUGAGCAAUGUAUGCGAACGUUGCCCUUGACCCCGAUUUCCUGAGUAGAACAAGAAAGCUUACGGGUUUUGAUGGUGUUAGUGGUAUUUUCAGAAGAUUGCCGGCUUCAGUAUUCCCGUCCCAUGGUGUCGUGUGAGUCUGUUAGCAGUGUUGUCCUCAGCUCUCCCCUUGUCCUGGCUUCCACCUUCCGUGUCCUUUCCCUGAGCAAGGGCCUCCCCCCUAGUUACCAUCGUGCUUAGAGAAGUAGUCCGUGUUAGUCAUGGUCGGGCACGUGGCAGUGUUUACCUGAGUGCCGAGUCCCAAGCCACAUACGUGACGACUUCCAGGCUCUGGAGCUGUUGCUCAGCGCUGAGGGGAGAAAUAGGAAGGCAUGAUCUGAAUCAUUUUGAGGAUGUCAGGUUACCUGAUUUUUGUCUUGGGAUGCACAUGCAGAAAGCAAAUGUCCCGUGCUGGGGUUAUGAUCUUAGAAGGAGGCAUUUCACCAGCCAGCCAAGUAAUUAGUUUAUUUACCUUGAGACAAUAUUUACUUUGAGUUGUAUCCCCAGAGUUCAGAUUUCUCAGUUGUAGGCCCAGUAACUUAAUAUGUAACAGGACUACUCAUCUGAACCACUUACUCUCCAGUGGGAUUCUGAAUAGAAGGUAUAUUUUUGUUGCAAUCCCGGUAGGAAGCAACAAAACAAAACAAGUGAAAGGAGAAGAGAACAAAGCCCGCAGGUCAGGAGGCGCACACAUUCACAUUUUAACCACACCCAGAAUUCUACACACAGCUUUAUUCUUCCUAACUGUAUUCUAACCCGGUGAGAGUUACCCUGUCAGAGCACUUUGGAACUGUGGGUAAAACUAAACGACCUCAGUGUUUCUAUUUAUCCCAAGUCGGUGUGUGGGGCGGAACUGGAAAAUUUCCCUGAGGCAUAACUCGGCCAGAUUUUGAAGAGGAGAUAUGGGAGAUUUUUCCCAUAUGAUGACUCCAGAAAUUAGUGAUUUUUUUUGUGUGUGUGUGUGAGAUAACAUUCAGCCUGGAGUUCUGUGAUUUUAGAAAUGUAAAAAUAAAGAAUCAUUUUUUUAUUUGGAA